rnacentral:rRNA from 1 species
GAUGAACGCUGGCGGCGUGCCUAAUACAUGCAAGUCGAGCGAACGGACGAGAAGCUUGCUUCUCUGAUGUUAGCGGCGGACGGGUGAGUAACACGUGGAUAACCUACCUAUAAGACUGGGAUAACUUCGGGAAACCGGAGCUAAUACCGGAUGAUAUUUUGAACCGCAUGGUUCAAAAGUGAAAGACGGUCUUGCUGUCACUUAUAGAUGGAUCCGCGCUGCAUUAGCUAGUUGGUAAGGUAACGGCUUACCAAGGCAACGAUGCAUAGCCGACCUGAGAGGGUGAUCGGCCACACUGGAACUGAGACACGGUCCAGACUCCUACGGGAGGCAGCAGUAGGGAAUCUUCCGCAAUGGGCGAAAGCCUGACGGAGCAACGCCGCGUGAGUGAUGAAGGUCUUCGGAUCGUAAAACUCUGUUAUUAGGGAAGAACAUAUGUGUAAGUAACUGUGCACAUCUUGACGGUACCUAAUCAGAAAGCCACGGCUAACUACGUGCCAGCAGCCGCGGUAAUACGUAGGUGGCAAGCGUUAUCCGGAAUUAUUGGGCGUAAAGCGCGCGUAGGCGGUUUUUUAAGUCUGAUGUGAAAGCCCACGGCUCACCGUGGAGGGUCAUUGGAAACUGGAAAACUUGAGUGCAGAAGAGGAAAGUGGAAUUCCAUGUGUAGCGGUGAAAUGCGCAGAGAUAUGGAGGAACACCAGUGGCGAAGGCGACUUUCUGGUCUGUAACUGACGCUGAUGUGCGAAAGCGUGGGGAUCAAACAGGAUUAGAUACCCUGGUAGUCCACGCCGUAAACGAUGAGUGCUAAGUGUUAGGGGGUUUCCGCCCCUUAGUGCUGCAGCUAACGCAUUAAGCACUCCGCCUGGGGAGUACGACCGCAAGGUUGAAACUCAAAGGAAUUGACGGGGACCCGCACAAGCGGUGGAGCAUGUGGUUUAAUUCGAAGCAACGCGAAGAACCUUACCAAAUCUUGACAUCCUUUGACAACUCUAGAGAUAGAGCCUUCCCCUUCGGGGGACAAAGUGACAGGUGGUGCAUGGUUGUCGUCAGCUCGUGUCGUGAGAUGUAGGGUUAAGUCCCGCAACGAGCGCAACCCUUAAGCUUAGUUGCCAUCAUUAAGUUGGGCACUCUAAGUUGACUGCCGGUGACAAACCGGAGGAAGGUGGGGAUGACGUCAAAUCAUCAUGCCCCUUAUGAUUUGGGCUACACACGUGCUACAAUGGACAAUACAAAGGGCAGCGAAACCGCGAGGUCAAGCAAAUCCCAUAAAGUUGUUCUCAGUUCGGAUUGUAGUCUGCAACUCGACUACAUGAAGCUGGAAUCGCUAGUAAUCGUAGAUCAGCAUGCUACGGUGAAUACGUUCCCGGGUCU